rnacentral:snoRNA from 1 species
AACUCAUGGUGAGGGCACCUUCUCAAUAAAUCCUUAUAUCUCUCCUAUGCAUCAUGUAAGGUCUCUAAGUUGAUCUGAACGAAGGAAGAGAUAUCAUUCCUUAACUU